GGGCGAUUAGCUCAGUCGGUUAGAGCGCAUGCUUCACAUGCAUGAGGUCAGAGGUUCGAAUCCUCUAUCGCCCA
rnacentral:tRNA from 1 species